rnacentral:rRNA from 1 species
AUUGAACGCUGGCGGCAGGCCUAACACAUGCAAGUCGAGCGGAUGAAGGGGGCUUGCUCCUGGAUUCAGCGGCGGACGGGUGAGUAAUGCGCAGGAAUCUACCUCGUAGUGGGGGAUAACGUCUCGAAAGGGGCGCUAAUACCGCAUACGUUCUGAGGAAGAAAGCAGGGGACCUUCGGGCCUUGCGCUAUGAGAUGAGCUUGCGUCCGAUUAGCUAGUUGGGGGGGUAAAGGCCUACCAAGGCGACGAUCGGUAACUGGUCUGAGAGGAUGAUCAGUCACACUGGAACUGAGACACGGUCCAGACUCCUACGGGAGGCAGCAGUGGGGAAUAUUGGACAAUGGGGGCAACCCUGAUUCAGCCAUGCCGCGUGUGU